rnacentral:rRNA from 1 species
AUACGUAGGGGGCGAGCGUUGUCCGGAAUGAUUGGGCGUAAAGGGCGCGUAGGCGGCGCGGUAAGUCUGGUGUGAAAGUCCUGCUUUCAAGGCGGGAAUUGCUUUGGAUACUGCCGUGCUUGAGUGCAGGAGAGGAUAUCGGAAUUCCCGGUGUAGCGGUGAAAUGCGUAGAGAUCGGGAGGAACACCAGUGGCGAAGGCGGGUAACUGGACUGCAACUGACGCUGAGGCGCGAAAGUGUGGGGAGCAAACAGGAUUAGAUACCCUGGUAGUCCACACUGUAAACGAUGAAUGCUAGGUGUAAGAGGUAUCGACCCCUUUUGUGCCGGAGUCAACACAAUAAGCAUUCCGCCUGGGGAGUACGGCCGCAAGGUUGAAACUCAAAGGAAUUGACGGGG